rnacentral:rRNA from 1 species
AUGAACGCUGGCGGCGUGCCUAAUACAUGCAAGUCGAGCGAACAGACGAGGAGCUUGCUCCUCUGACGUUAGCGGCGGACGGGUGAGUAACACGUGGAUAACCUACCUAUAAGACUGGGAUAACUUCGGGAAACCGGAGCUAAUACCGGAUAAUAUAUUGAACCGCAUGGUUCAAUAGUGAAAGACGGUUUUGCUGUCACUUAUAGAUGGAUCCGCGCCGCAUUAGCUAGUUGGUAAGGUAACGGCUUACCAAGGCGACGAUGCGUAGCCGACCUGAGAGGGUGAUCGGCCACACUGGAACUGAGACACGGUCCAGACUCCUACGGGAGGCAGCAGUAGGGAAUCUUCCGCAAUGGGCGAAAGCCUAACGGAGCAACGCCGCGUGAGUGAUGAAGGUCUUCGGAUCGUAAAACUCUGUUAUUAGGGAAGAACAAAUGUGUAAGUAACUAUGCACGUCUUGACGGUACCUAAUCAGAAAGCCACGGCUAACUACGUG